AUUGAACGCUGGCGGCAGGCUUAACACAUGCAAGUCGAACGAGUGGCGGACGGGUGAGUAAUGCUUGGGAAUCUAGCUUAUGGAGGGGGAUAACUACGGGAAACUGUAGCUAAUACCGCGUACCAUAGGAUGAGCCGAAGUGGGAUUAGGUAGUUGGGGAGGUAAAGGCUCACCAAGACGACGAUCUCUAGCUGGUCUGAGAGGAUGACCCGACACACUGGAACUGUGACACGGCCCAGACUCCUACGGGAGGCAGCAGUAGGGAAUAUUGCGCAAUGGGGGCAACCUGACGAAGCCAUGCCGCGUGAAUGAAAAAGGCCUUCGGGUUGUAAAAUUCUUUCAGUAGCGAGGCGUUAACUACAGAAGCAGCACCGGCUAACUCCGUGCCAGCAACCGCGGUAAUAC
rnacentral:rRNA from 1 species